rnacentral:rRNA from 1 species
AGAGUUUGAUCCUGGCUCAGGACGAACGCUGGCGGCGUGCUUAACACAUGCAAGUCGAGCGGUAAGGCCCUUCGGGGUACACGAGCGGCGAACGGGUGAGUAACACGUGGGUAACCUGCCUCGUACUUUGGGAUAAGCCCGGGAAACUGGGUCUAAUACCGGAUAUGACCACAUGUCGCAUGGUGUGUGGUGGAAAGUUC